AGGUCAAGCUACAAAGGGCGCAUGGUGAAUGCCUUGGCACUAGGAGCCGAAGAAGGACGCGAUAAG
rnacentral:rRNA from 1 species